rnacentral:pre_miRNA from 1 species
UGCUUGCUCCGCCUCUCGAAUCCUUGGAACCUAGGUGUGAAUGCUGCUUCAGUGCAACACACCUGUUCAAGGAUUCAAAGAGGCUGAGCC